GACGAACGCUGGCGUCGUGCCUAAUACAUGCAAGUAGAACGCAGUUGCGAACGGGUGAGUUACGCGUAGUUAACUGCCUCAUAGCGGGGGAUAACUAUUUUAAACGAUAGCUAAUACCGCAUACUGCGCGAUGGACCUUCGUUGUAUUAGCUUGUUGGUGAGGUAAAGGCUCACCAAGGCGACGAUACAUAGCCGACCUGAGAGGGUGAUCGGUCACACUGGUAGUGAGACAGGGCCCGGAUUCCAACGUGAGACAGCAUUAGGUAAUAUUCGGAAGUGGACGCAAGACUGGACGGGCAACGCCGAGUGAGUGAGAAAGUUUUAGGAUCGUAAAACUCAGUUGUUAGAGAAGCGGGAAAUAACCAGAAAGGGACGGAUAACUACGUGCCAGCAGCCGCGGUAAUAC
rnacentral:rRNA from 1 species